ensembl:misc_RNA Metazoa_SRP Metazoan signal recognition particle RNA
GCUGGGCGUGGUGUCUCACGCCUGUAAUCCCAGCACUUCGGGAGGCCGAGGCGGGUGGAUCACUUGAGGUCAGGAGUUCGAGACCAGCCUGACCAACAUGGUGAAACUCCGUCUCUACUAAAAAUACAAAAAUUAGCUGGAUGUCGUGGCAGGCGCCUGUAAUCCCAGCUACUCGGGUGGAUCACUUGAGGUCAGGAGUUCGAGACCAGCCUGACCAAUGUGGUGAAACUCCGUCUCU